rnacentral:rRNA from 1 species
UAGAGUUUGAUCCUGGCUCAGAUUGAACGCUGGCGGCAUGCCUUACACACGCAAGUCGAACGGUAACAGGUCUUCGGACGCUGACGAGUGGCGAACGGGUGAGUAAUACAUCGGAACGUGCCCAGUCGUGGGGGAUAACUACUCGAAAGAGUAGCUAAUACCGCAUACGAUCUGAGGAUGAAAGCGGGGGACCUUCGGGCCUCGCGCGAUUGGAGCGGCCGAUGGCAGAUUAGGUAGUUGGUGGGAUAAAAGCUUACCAAGCCGACGAUCUGUAGCUGGUCUGAGAGGACGACCAGCCACACUGGGACUGAGACACGGCCCAGACUCCUACGGGAGGCAGCAGUGGGGAAUUUUGGACAAUGGGCGAAAGCCUGAUCCAGCAAUGCCGCGUGCAGGAUGAAGGCCUUCGGGUUGUAAACUGCUUUUGUACGGAACGAAAAAGCUCCUUCUAAUACAGGGGGCCCAUGACGGUACCGUAAGAAUAAGCACCGGCUAACUACGUGCCAGCAGCCGCGGUAAUACGUAGGGUGCGAGCGUUAAUCGGAAUUACUGGGCGUAAAGCGUGCGCAGGCGGUUAUGUAAGACAGAUGUGAAAUCCCCGGGCUCAACCUGGGAACUGCAUUUGUGACUGCAUGGCUAGAGUACGGUAGAGGGGGAUGGAAUUCCGCGUGUAGCAGUGAAAUGCGUAGAUAUGCGGAGGAACACCGAUGGCGAAGGCAUCCCCUGGACCUGUACUGACGCUCAUGCACGAAAGCGGGGGGAGCAAACAGGAUUAGAUACCCUGGUAGUCCACGCCCUAAACGAUGUCAACUGGUUUGUUGGGAAUUAGUUUUCUCAGUAACGAAGCUAACGCGUGAAGUUGACCGCCUGGGGAGUACGGCCGCAAGGUUGAACUCAAAGGAAUUGACGGGGACUCGCACAAGCCGUGGAUAGAUUGUGGUUUAAUUCGAGGCAACCGCG